AUGAGUUAUCUACUUUUAAUUCUUAAAAAGAAUUCUGUGUUGAAAAGGUACCUGAAAUUAUGGGACUGUCUUUGCAAUUUAGCAUCUGUUUGAAAUUAGGAAUGCAGUUAGUUAUACAACAAAAAAAUUGGUGCAAUGAAGUUUGGUUUCUCAAUGCCUCAACUGCUUUAUAUACAUUUAUUGAUCUGUUUGCUUCAUUGAACAAGUGUAAAUGAAUAAAUGGCAUUUGUGAGCAAUUUUCUUUUCUUUGGAAGUGAUAUGAAGACACUUUGCUAGGCAUUAGCAAAAUCAGAACCGUAGGGCUUCUGUACUAAUCUCUACUUUGAACUAGCCCUUCCUGAUGGAUAUUCUUACUGUUGACAGCUACAUGGGGUAAAAAACACCUUCAUGGAUCAUUUUUUAAAGACUUAUUUUGUUCUUUCUCUCUUGUCAUUUCAUCCCAAAAUUUCCAUUUUGAGUACCUGAAGAAAUCAGAAAAUACAACUCGGGAAUUUGCAUCCUAGUGAAACAGAGACUCCAAAACUAACACUGACUGAAUCAAAAUGAUGGCAGAGUUCAAACAGGUGGCUAGUUAUUGGAGUCUGUUCAGGAACAACUAACUGAACCUCAAUCCCAGUAAAUGGUUGAAGACAGAAGACUUACAGAUUUUAUAUCCAGCCCAUGAGGAUUUUGACUGAUUCCAUUGAGCAGGCUCAGCUGAAAUGCUGCCACUUCCUAGGACCACACUCUAAGUCGCUGGAUGUAAAAUGAUUACUCUGAGCACAUACACACCAUCCAGCAAGUGAUUGCAGUGUUCCUGUGGAUAAGAAUCAGAAAAACCAAAAGAACUGAGCUGGCAAGUUAUGCAGUAGAAGGGAGAUUCCUCGGAGCAUGAAGCAACGUGUGGCACAUUGACCCUCUACCUUUCUUGCACCCCAACUUUUGAUGGCCAACUUCUUCCCUUGCAAACAGAACUCAGGUGAAAAACUGAAGGGCCAAGACAAAUUCAGUGACUUGUCCAGGAUCACACAACCAGUCAUUAGCUCCGCUGAGAAGAAAAUACACAUCUCUGGAUCCCCAGAUGAGUGUUUCGUUUUUGUUCUUUAGCACUUCGAGUGCUUCCGUACAACAUACCAUUUGUAUUCUUUGAAACAAACUCUUCAGGUAUUUCCAGGUGUUUUUCACGUGUCUGACCUGAGAGAAAGUAUACCUAAUGGUAUAAGUAGAUUUAAAAUCUAUUUAAAAUUCUCAGUUUCUAAUGCUGUUCUUCCUUUAGUAACUACUUCAAAAUGUUAAUUGUCUGUCAGUCCUUUGGUUGGGGAAUUGCUUAUGGGACCACCUAGAGGUUAUGAUAGGGAGAAGACAUUACACAUGAAAGCCAUCCUACAGCCUGAUAUUACAGAAUGAGCCAACAUUUCGCCAGCAUCCGCUCAGAGUGAUAGCCCUGAAUACAAUGGC